CGAGGCUAAGAGAGCCUUUGGUUUGUUUUUUAACAACAGACUCCUGAGUGUGUUAAGUCCAAAGGGCAGGACUCCGUGAAGGAAAGAGGGAAGAGCUGCAGCGGGGAGGCUGAACAGGAUUUUAACAACGGCUUGAAGAAACAAACUUACCAUGAAAAUGCAAGGCAGUCCAGCCUUGUGCAGACAAAGGAGAAAUGAGCCUCACUCGGGCAAACAGUGCUGGCGACCUCCUCUCCCUCCCUCCACCAAGGAAAACAAAAGAAGAGCAAGGCCCAGAGUGGACAGAGGCUUCUUCCCUGGGUCAGAGAAACACGAGGUCUCGGGGCCCAAAUCCCAGCGCUGCCUGGAGGAAAGGACCCAGCACCUCCCAGCAAAGGCCUCUGUCCACAGCUCCCUUUGUCUGGGGCAGGGAAAUCUGUCUGCACCUUGCCU
rnacentral:lncRNA from 1 species